GGUAAAUACGGUGCGGGGUGCUCCCUCAGCGCGGCCUCCUGGGCCCCGGCGGGAAAUAAAGGCCGAUGGCGCCUGCGGGGAGCAGGAUAAACCUCGUCUGCGGGCACGAUUUACCUCGGUCGGAGGGAUGGAGUACGCAUCGCAUGGCUGAGUCACUGACAUCGCCGAUGCUCUGAAGACUGAGUCAUGCUAAUUGUCAGUGAGAGGGAGGAGGAAGAGAGACUGAGAGUGAUCCUACUCCUGCGAGCUUCUAGCUGAAAAUUAUCAAAAACAGGAGCAUUAAUCAAUAAGUAAAUCACAGGUGUUGCUGAAGGGUCUCUGAAGAUCUGAAGAGAGAGGUCAGAGUUUCUACUUUGAAAAUUUCUUCUACCUUAGAGGAAGAAGAGAGGAAAAAUUGGGGAACUUCGGCAGAGAUCUGGAAAAAAAACAGCGUAGUGGGUAGACACACAAUUCAGGAAGAAAAUGAUGGGGAAAGUGUGUUCAGGUAAUAUGGGAGUGCUAAACAGAUUGCAGAAGCAAGGAUAAGAAAAAAGGAAAAGUAGGAAAACCUGGUAUUACUUUUUAAAAAUAAAAAUAAAAACUUCCAGUGAAGAAGUUCAGAACUUCUAAAUAUUUUCCAUUUUAUGUUGGAAGGAGUCCCUGCAACCUUCGGAUAAAUUCCAUUUGAGAUUAGGAGGGGAAAAGUUAAUAGGAUGUUGUUUUUUUUUUUCCUGUUACGAUGUGUUUCACAAUUCACAAUUUAAGAAUGCAUGGUCUAAUCAGAAUAUGUGCAAAUGACAUGCCAAAUUGUCUUGUGUUUUGCUUUUUCUGUGAGAUCAAGAAUGUCUGCAGUGAGAGUGCCCAGUCUUUCUCCUGACCUGUCC